GUCUUUUUGGUUAUUUAAUAUAAAGUCUGACCUGCCCACUGAAUUUAUUUUGAAGGGCCGCAGUAUUUUGACUGUGCAAAGGUAGCAUAAUCAUUAGUCUUUUAAUUGAAGGCUGGUAUGAAUGGUUGGAUGAGGCACAAGCUGUGUCAUAAAAAUUAACUUUUGAAUUUACCUUUUUAGUCAAAAGGCUAAAAUAAAAUUAAAAGACGAGAAGACCCUAUAGAGCUUUAUAUAAUUUAUAUUUAAAUUAUUAAGAUUUUUCAAAUUUAAUUAUUUUAUUAUAUUUUGUUGGGGUGACAAUAAAAUUUAUAAAACUUUUAUUUUUAUUAACCAUUUAUUUAUGAAUAUAUGAUCCAGUUUUAUUGAUUAUAAAUUUAAGUUACCUUAGGGAUAACAGCGUAAUUUUUUUUGAGAGUUCUUAUCGACAAAAAAGAUUGCGACCUCGAUGUUGGAUUAAGAGUAAUUUUGGGUGUAGAAGUUCAAAGUUUAAGUCUGUUCGACUUUUAAAUUCUUACAU
rnacentral:rRNA from 1 species